rnacentral:rRNA from 1 species
UAUCAGAAGUGCGAAUGCUGACAUAAGUAACGAUAAAGCGGGUGAAAAGCCCGCUCGCCGGAAGACCAAGGGUUCCUGUCCAACGUUAAUCGGGGCAGGGUGAGUCGACCCCUAAGGCGAGGCCGAAAGGCGUAGUCGAUGGGAAACGGGUUAAUAUUCCCGUACUUGGUGUUACUGCGAAGGGGGGACGGAGAAGGCUAUGUUGGCCGGGCGACGGUUGUCCCGGUUUAAGCGUGUAGGUGUGUGUUCCAGGUAAAUCCGGUUCACUUUAACACUGAGGCGUGAUGACGAGGCACUACGGUGCUGAAGCAACAAAUGCCCUGCUUCCAGGAAAAGCCUCUAAGCAUCAGGUAACAUCAAAUCGUACCCCAAACCGACACAGGUGGUCAGGUAGAGAAUACCAAGGCGCUUGAGAGAACUCGGGUGAAGGAACUAGGCAAAAUGGUGCCGUAACUUCGGGAGAAGGCACGCUGACACGUAGGUGAAGUGAUUUACUCAUGGAGCUGAAGUCAGUCGAAGAUACCAGCUGGCUGCAACUGUUUAUUAAAAACACAGCACUGUGCAAACACGAAAGUGGACGUAUACGGUGUGACGCCUGCCCGGUGCCGGAAGGUUAAUUGAUGGGGUCAGCGCAAGCGAAGCUCCUGAUCGAAGCCCCGGUAAACGGCGGCCGUAACUAUAACGGUCCUAAGGUAGCGAAAUUCCUUGUCGGGUAAGUUCCGACCUGCACGAAUGGCGUAAUGAUGGCCAGGCUGUCUCCACCCGAGACUCAGUGAAAUUGAACUCGCUGUGAAGAUGCAGUGUACCCGCGGCAAGACGGAAAGACCCCGUGAACCUUUACUAUAGCUUGACACUGAACAUUGAGCCUUGAUGUGUAGGAUAGGUGGGAGGCUUUGAAGUGUGGACGCCAGUCUGCAUGGAGCCGGCCUUGAAAUACCACCCUUUAAUGUUUGAUGUUCUAACGUGGACCCGUGAUCCGGGUUGCGGACAGUGUCUGGUGGGUAGUUUGACUGGGGCGGUCUCCUCCUAAAGAGUAACGGAGGAGCACGAAGGUUGGCUAAUCCUGGUCGGACAUCAGGAGGUUAGUGCAAUGGCAUAAGCCAGCUUGACUGCGAGCGUGACGGCGCGAGCAGGUGCGAAAGCAGGUCAUAGUGAUCCGGUGGUUCUGAAUGGAAGGGCCAUCGCUCAACGGAUAAAAGGUACUCCGGGGAUAACAGGCUGAUACCGCCCAAGAGUUCAUAUCGACGGCGGUGUUUGGCACCUCGAUGUCGGCUCAUCACAUCCUGGGGCUGAAGUAGGUCCCAAGGGUAUGGCUGUUCGCCAUUUAAAGUGGUACGCGAGCUGGGUUUAGAACGUCGUGAGACAGUUCGGUCCCUAUCUGCCGUGGGCGCUGGAGAACUGAGGGGGGCUGCUCCUAGUACGAGAGGACCGGAGUGGACGCAUCACUGGUGUUCGGGUUGUCAUGCCAAUGGCACUGCCCGGUAGCUAAAUGCGGAAGAGAUAAGUGCUGAAAGCAUCUAAGCACGAAACUUGCCCCGAGAUGAGUUCUCCCUGAGACUUUAGGUCUCCUGAAGGAACGUUGAAGACGACGACGUUGAUAGGCCGGGUGUGUAAGCGCAGCGAUGCGUUGAGCUAACCGGUACUAAUGAACCGUGAGGCUUAACCUUACA